rnacentral:misc_RNA from 1 species
GUGAAAGUACUUCCAAGAUCCAUUGGAAGACUCAAACAGCUAGAAAUAUUAGAUCUCAAGCAGACACAUGUCACUGAGUUGCCUGUGGAGAUUUUAAAACUUGAAAAUCUCCGUCACCUUUUAGUCUAUAGCCAUGUAUCCUAUUCGUAUCUUCCUUACAACUGUUCACCAGGUUUUAAGGCUUUCCGAGGAAUUGGAGCUUUGAGAGCCUUGCAGAAACUUGU